GACCCCUUGCUACACCUAACCUCUCAUAGGCUAUGUCUGAUCUUAUAUCAAAUGCACAGACAAAGCCUAGUAGAGGCUAGAUUUAUAAGGAAAUG
rnacentral:pre_miRNA from 1 species